AGAUGCUGUGGCUAGUUAUGAGCCAAAUGAGUGUACACAUAUGAUAUCAGAGGAAAAUCGGAGACAGCUAGCUCCCCCUGGGAGCCGCUGGGAGCCUGGGUAUAAUCCUGGUGUCUUAAGACAGCCCAUUGCACAACUCAGUGCUUUAACUUAGUGCUUCUGUGAUGCCUUCCUAUGCCACUAGCCAGGUAGCCGAGCAUCCGCUGUGCAGUGCUAACGCCCCACUACUGUUCUGGCCAUGCCUCCCUUGGCUUCCCACCCCCUCUCCUCUGCAGCGAGCCUUUUGGCCUCACUCCCACCUUGGCUCUCAAACCCAACUUCCCUCCUCCCAUCUGUACAAAUGUGCAAGCAACGUGGGACUCUCCCGUUCUCCUUUUACCUUGGAGUUUCUACCCCAGAAAGUUCUUUCUAGUCUCUUCCUGCCCACCCUCUGCCCAAAUCUAUUUGAAUUUCUCACUGAAUUCUCAGCAACUUGAAACCAUCUCUACCUAUCCCUUGCUGGUCAGUCACUGCUUGACAUGGACCCUUCUACAUGCAGUUAACUGUGGAAAUACGAAUAUGUAGCACGGCUGUGGCCACAGAGAGAUUCUAUAGAGAAUGCCUCUAUAGUCUCGUCUGCAUCUGAGCACCACUGUCCUGAAGGGCAGGGAAGGACAUUACUUCUGCUUCUUUCUCCCCCUCACCGCACAGCAAGAGAAACAAAGACUGCAGUGGAAUAUUCCUUUGCAGCAUGCUCUGAUCCGAGGAUAUUUGGGCUUCGUAAACAGUCAGCGCCAUCAAACAUCAAUUCUGAGGCAUGUGAUGACACGCACCUUGUGAUCCUAACCCUUGGGAGGCCGAAGCAGAGGGAUCACAAAUUUGAGGACUGCAUGGGCUUGCUGGGGAGGACAAAAUGGUAGCUCAGUAGCCAAUCCUCCCCAUGAAGCACGGAUGGAGGCUUCUUUUCAUUCAUUCCAGGUAAGGUUCUUCACAAUCCUUGCUAUGCAAAGUGUCGUCCACCGCCGAGCGGCUCUGCAGCUCCCGGGGACUUGGUGGACAUGGCCUCCUCAGUUCCAGCAGGACUUCCAAAUCAGAACCUGCGUUUCAGCUCCAUCCCCAGGGAACCUGAGUGCAUGUGAACUCAGAAUCUGCACUAAGACAUCUUAGUUCCUUGAGACUUAGUAGGGGGUAGGGUGGUGGUGAUGGUGGUGGUGGUGGUGGUGGUGAUGGUGGUGAUGGUGGUGGUGAUGGUGGUGGUGAUGGUGGUGAUGGUGAUGGUGGUAAUGGUGAUGGUGGUGAUGGUGGUGGUGAUGGUGGUGAUGGUGAUGGUGGUGGUGGUGGUGAUGGUGGUGAUGGUGAUGAUGGUGGUGGUGGUGGUGAUGGUGGUGGUGAUGGUGGUGAUGGUGAUGGUGGUGGUGGUGGUGGUGGUGGUGGUGGUGGUGGUGGUGAUGGUGGUGGUGGUGGUAGUGGUAGUGGUGAAUUCAGGUUCCUGGAGUGGUAGCAGUUUACAAAUUCCAAUGCCUUGCUUAGAGACACACUGGUGAAUCCCAGUGAGUCACACCAGUUGGCACUGGGAACAUCUUGACCUUGGUUGGGCCACGCCUGUGAAAGGCAGCGCUGUAGGCAAAGCCUGUCAACCUCGAAUCCCAUUACACUCCAUCAAGUCCCCACCAUGCUCGCCCUUGCCUAGUUAGGCUUGGUGUGUGCGUCAGGGCCAUCAAUCACCAAGAGAUAAUACCACAGGUCACGGAAGCGGCUGCUCACACGCAGAGGAGCAGGGCUUCCUCCAGCCCAGGAGCCUGGCAGCAGCUCCUACAGUCUGUUCAGAGACCUCUGUGUCAUGCUCACCCAUGGAACUGACACCUGCAAUUGCAAUAGAGGCCCCCAGAAGUUCUCAGAUCUCCCCCAAGCUUAUCUGUGGGCUCUACUCUUGAUUUUGUCUUUUCCUUUCUUUUUAUCUGUCUGUCUGUCUAUCCAUCAUCUAUCUUCUAUCUAUCUAUCUAUCUAUCUAUCUAUCUUUUUUUUUUUUUUUUGAGACAGGGUUUCUCUGUGUAGCUCUGGCUGUCCUUGAACUCACUUUGUAGACCAGGCUGGCCUUGAACUCAGAAAUCCGCCUGGCUCUGCCUCCGGAGUGAUGGGAUUAAAGGCGUGCGCCACCACGCCCAGCUCUAUCUAUCUAUCUAUCUAUCUAUCUAUCUAUCAUCUAUCAUAUAUCUUAUCUAUCUAUUAUCUAUUUAUUGUCUAUUAUCUAUCAUCUAUCUUAUCUAUCACCUAUCUAUUAUCUAUCUUAUCUAUUAUCUCUCCAUUAUUUAUCAUCUAUCUCAUCUAUUAUCUAUUUAUUGUCUAUUAUCUAUCUUAUCUAUCAUCUAUCUUAUCUAUUAUCUAUCUAUUAUCCACCAUCUAUCUUAUCUAUUAUCUAUUUAUUAUCUACAUAUCAUCUAUCUGUUAUCUAUAUUAUCUAUCCUAUCUAUCUAUCUAUCUAUCUAUCACCUAUCUAUUAUCUAUCAUCUAUCUUAUCUACCUAUCUACCAUCUGUCUUUUGUGCCCAGCUUUUUCUGAAUAUCCCUGGAGGUCCUAGAACUCACUCUAUAGACCAAGCUAGACUCAAACUCAAACUCAGAGAUCCGCUUGCCUCUGUCUCCUGAGUGCUGUGAUUAACAGCAUGUGACACCACUGCCUGGCCACUAUUUUGUAUUUGUAUCUCAAUCCUCGGUCCUUGGAGUAAAUCCUACACUUACUCUGUAUAUUAUUCCUGUAGCUAAAAUCUCUUUUAGGAUUCCCUGCAGCUCUACAUUACAGCAAUAGAUGUGUUGAAUUCCUCUUUGCAAGGAACACCUUCCCUCCUUUCCAGCUGCUGCCCCUCACACCCAGGGCAGGGGUGGGCUAACGGGUGGGCCUAUGUCUCUCAUUAAGACUGACUGAUGAGAAAAGCUGAACUUGCUGGCUACAGCUGCAACCAUCAGCCGCUCAGAGUAUCUUGAUUUUUUGCCAUGGUGUUCAUCAGUAUUUACAGCUAUACAAUUUUACUUUAUUAUGCUUGCCUAAUGGCCAGCAAGCCUCCCAGAGGGCAGAGUCUGGCCUGGUCUUAGCCAUUGCUUAGUCCUGGUAUUGGGUUCAGUGUCUGCCACUGACGUUCUCAGAGACUUAUUUGCUGAGUCACUGGAAUGUAUGGGUGAUUGACUUUGGGGAUUUGAAGGGCUAACGGGGAUUUUGUGAAGUACUGAGAGGAAGCAAGGCCUGGGGGGCGGGUGGGACUUCUCCCAAUCACAGGCCCAAGAAAGGGCUUACAGCAUCAUACCAAAGACAUGCCCUCUAAGGAGCCAUGCCCCUGCCUUAGGUCAACCAGCCUAAGGUAUAAGCAGCCAGUACUCAGUUCUCUGCUGUGCUUACAGUUUUGGCCUCUAGGACUGCCCCAAAACACCUAGGCCCUUCUGAGGACUGCAGGCAGAGAGGAAACCUGGCUUUGCAGAGCCUCCUUGGUAUAGACCAAUGUGAUAAUAUAAGAUAGCCUUAAUGCCAGCUGCUAAACACAGACCAAACCAAACACCUGGAGUCCUUAAGGUCUCAGUGUGAGGCACGACUGCCUCUCUUCCCUUAGUAGCUUAGCUGUGGCAUCAAAUUCAGAUGACCUUGGCCAGCUUGCUACCUCUUAGUGCUCAGGAUUCAGCCCUGUCAUCACCUGCAGACCACACUGCAGCCUCCUUCUGUCAUCUGUCUUGUCCUAGUUUUCUGUCCUUCUGGCCUCUGGCAGACGACGUGUAUAAGGUAGGUCUUGUGUCUGGUACAGAAAGGGGAAUCAGUUACACGUGUGUGAAAGCCAAGGGUGUAUCAUCCAUCAGUGAUUAGUUUGCAUGUAGAAGAGACCCUAGCACAGAAGGACUUCUAAUAUCUCAAGUCUAAGAGGGAGCCUGUUCUCCAGGCUUAAAGCAGAGAAGGCAGAUUCUUUUUAAAUAAUCCAUGGUGCACUGGAUUGUGGGCAGGCAUGAUUUAGGGUUAAAUGGUGACUUACAAGGAAGAGAGGUGAAGGGAUACAGAAGAUAUAGACUUCAAAUCUGAGCUGCACUGAAUGAAGGUGGAAGUAGAGGGGAUGGCCUUCCUGUGGGAGACCUGAUCACAGGCUCAGAGAGGCAGGGUAACUCAGGGCCACUGGCAGCCUGGGAUCAAUCUGCAGGGUGUGUCGGGUGAGUCAUGGCCCACGAAUCUUGUCUCUGCUAUGUCCACAGGAAAGCAACUCCUGUUUGUGUUUACAGAAGGCAUCUGCCAGCCAGGUGAGACAACAUCAUGUCCAGGCACAGAGCCCCCCCCCCCACUCCCCACCUCCAAUAACAGCAUAAAAUUAAGAAUAGACACAGCAAAAUGCUACAUCAUAACAGAAAAGGCCUAAGUAGAAAAGACCUUGAUGGACAUUUAAAGUAGUGAAAUUCUUCUAAACUCUAAAAUAUUGGUAAUAUUAGUAUUAACCCCAACCUGGUUAACGUUGGAAGUUCUGCCGGCUUCCGAUCAAAACCUUCAUUUGGUUACCACUAAUGAAGAAGCGGGGGCUAUUUUUAAAAAGCCACAGAGCAUGUGCUUGCCAAGUCAUUAGGGCUUCUAACAAGUUCUUUACAACGAGAGGCCUAUGAUAAACAGGAGUGUUGGGACAAGUGUUCAGAGCUGCUGCUGCCUCUAACUCUCCGGUUCUGAAUCCCAGAAUUACCAGAGGAGGUAUUAAAGCACCGGGAAAAUUUAAAGCCUUGAAUCCUGAAAGGAGAGAUGGGGUCAGUUUGAUUGCUGACUGGCUUAUGACUGCAGAAUGUCAGACAGGACCAACGAACAGGCCUGGAUCUCAAGAGCCAGGGACAGUGGAGUUCUGUAUGAUAUUGGAUGCUGAGUGUGUAUGUAGGAGUGGACCACAGGCCCUGGGGCAAGACAGUUCAGGGGAAAGGGCUGCAAACAUGAGAUAGCUCAGGAGGAAAAGAACUCUUGAUAGGCACUGGGUACCGGAAGAAUGAAUCAAAAUGGCAUCACACAUUGGUGAGGAAGUGGUGGCCCUUGGGAAGGGCUGGCAGCCUCUGUUAGAAAAGACAGGCGGCACCGUCCCAGGUCUAUACACAGCAAUGCCCAGUGCAAACAGGCUCAGAAGAGCCACAGGGGCUAAGGCAAAUGCCCCUCAACAAUGCAGAGGCUAAAUAAUGGCAGUUUGACAGCCAAGGCUUGCAGCUCCACUCUGGUGUGAGUGGAUCUCACCAUGUUAAGUGAAAACAGCCAGCAGCAGAGGGGAGCGGAGAGUGUAGGAUUGCGUUUAUACCAAGGUCAAAACCUGGGGUUCACUCACUGGAGUCAAGGGUUCAGAUCCCACUGGAAGGGGCGCGCGGCUGCUAGCGAUGUUUGUUUCUUUAUUCAUUUGCUGUUUCCUUGGGCACGCUGGUUCAAGGAUAUUCAUUAGGCUGUUUACGUGUGAUGGGUGCAUUCGGUUUAUAUCUAUCGUGCUUUAUAAAAAGAAUGGAACGGCAUGGAGUAUAUAGUAAGUGCCGCUGAGAGUCUAUUUGCGGUGCUGAUUUGAGAAGUCUGGACAGGCAGGUGGAAUCCCAGCAUGUGGUGAGAGACACAUGGCUUUGCGCUAGGUAAGACUGGAGGGCUGCAUACGCUGAGGCUGGAGAUCAUUUGCAGAGAACAACAGGGCAGAUGGGAGCAGGGCGCGUCAUGAGAAUCAUAGAGAAGCAGAUGAGAAUGGGAGGAGGAGGAGGAAGAAGCAGACAAGCCAAUCACAUUAGAGACCAUUUCAGCACCCUUGACACAUCGACGGGACUCCGCUGACCACGGAGCUUGUGGGGAGAUGAGGUAGACGCUCUUUUAUUUCUUCAGGUGACACUGUCCCCACCUCCCUCUAAUUUAUUUUCGUGGAGCUGCUAGGAUGAAAUCCAGAGCCCCAUACGUGCUAGGCAAGAUAACCUCUCACUUAAAAAGUGGCAGGAACAACCUGGGCCUGAUAUACAUGUUUAUAAUCCCAGCAUUUUGGGGGCAGAGGCAGGAGGACCAGAGUUCAAAGUCAGCCUCUUCUAUGUAGUGUUCAAGGUCAGUUUCAAUAAAACAAAUGGAAGGAAGCAAAGAAAGAACACAGGAAGAAUUGACCAGUGAACUGUCCAGGACUAGUGAGGUGUGGAAGGAGGGAACACCCCAGUCUUCCAUAUCCAGGGUGUCUCUGGCCAUAAGCUUCAAACAUCUUAGGCUCCUGGUCAGCUUGGCCAGCCGCACUAAAAGUCCUUGAAGGUCAGUCCAAGAAGUGUUGGGCAGUGUGCUGCCCGGCAACUCUCCCUGAAGCACGGAACGUCUUGAGAGUGGGAAGAUGUGCAUAUGCCCGACAGCCAUGCGGGCUUGUCCUACUGCCUUGGGAAGCGCUGCGCUUUGCUAGUAAGCACGGCAGGUCAGAAGGUCAGGGCAUCAUCCUAAACACCUGUGCGGGGUGGGGCUGGCGGCUGGGCUGUUGUGCCAACAACAGGAGCCGUACAUUUCCUCUAAUGGAAAAUACCAGGUGGGAGAGCUACGAAGCCCCAGCACAGCAUCGGAGAAGCAUCUCAGAAAUGCAGAAGAAACACCUCUCCUGCUUCCCUGCCUGCACGCCUCCUCCGGAACGCUCGCCACCAUGCAUGCAAGGGUAGGAAAGGCCAAGAAGCUGAUUGGGUGACUGGAACGGAGGAAACCCACUGCUGUGGUCUGCACUCUGAAUAUUCCCCCCAAAGGCCCAGAAGGCUUGGUGAUGAAGCCAUGGUGCUACCGCGAGGCAUGAAACCCUCAGCAAGUGGGGUCUAAGAGAAAGAAGUUAGGUUACCGAGGGCCUGCUCUGAAAGAGGCUGUUGGGAACCUGCCUCUUCUCUUCCUCCUGUCUCUGCUUCCUGGCCAUCCUGGGGUGUGCAGCCUCUACAGGUCUGAGUAGUGUGGCUGAGUGUCCUUGUUCUGCUACCUCUGGGAUCAACCAUCUCCUUAUGUGUUGAUUACAGCAGGUAAUUGGCUGUAGAUGAAAAGCUACCCAGCCUUGGCUUGUGUUCAGGGCCUGAUGUCUACCCUACUCUACUAUCCCUAACUCUCGUGACUUCUCAAUGAGACUUUACAUGGAAGUGUCAUGUUCUCUGAAGGGGAGUGUUCCAGUACAGCUGUCCCCAUCCCUACCGAAGCCUGUGCUGUCCCUUCUAGGACAAUGCUAGAUGCCUGAAGUCCUGGCACUGAGACUUCUUAGCAUAAUAACAUGAGAACUAGGAUAAUUCUAUGUCACCUUAGCCUUUUUGUCUUUAAAUGGUGUACUAGCUGGUUUUGUGUGUCAACUUGACACAAGCUGGCUUAAUGGAGAAAGGGGCCUCCCUUGAGGAAAUGCUUCUAUGAUAUCCAGCUGUAAGGCAUUUUUUUAACUAUUGAUCAAGGGUGAGAGGGCCCAUGGUGGGUGGUGCCAUCCCUCAGCUGGUGGUCCUGGGUUCUAUAAGAAAGCAAGCUGAGCAAGCCAGGGGAAGCAAGCCAGUAAACAGCACUCCUCCAUGGCCUCUGCAUCAGCUCCUGCCUCCAAGUUCCUGCCCUGUGUGAGUUCCUGCCCUGACUUCCUUUGGUGAUGAACAGCAAUGUGGAAGUGUAAGCAGAAUAAACCCUUUCCUCCCCAGCUUGCUUCUUGGUCAUGAUGUUUUGUGCAGCAAUAGAAACAGUAACUAAGACAAAUGGGAUGGACACCUCAAUGACACCAGAGAGACAGCACCUGUGUGUCCCUAGCCCAGAGACCAGCAAGAACUGGCAGGCAGACAACCAUUUGUAGCUGGUUUCAGUCUCAUUCCCAUGAGCCCCUCCUGGGAUGCUCACAUCAACACGGUGUUCUCCAAGCAUCGCUCGCCAAUUCCCUCAGGGAGGUAGAGCAUCUUCGCUUCUGCCACCUCUGAUACAUCUGUGCACAUAUUUGAAAUGUCCUAGCUCAUUUGUCACAUCGCAAGUGUAAAUAGAAACGCAGUUGUAAGUACAGUUGUUGCAGGGCAUCUGCCUGGUUAUAGUCUGUUUCUCAGCCUGGGCGGUGGUCACACAGGAUAUGUUCAUUUAUGGGGAAUUUAUUGCCAAAACGCUCCACUUACAUUGAUAGACUCUUCUGGAUACAUAUUAUACUUUAAUAAAAUGUAAAGAACAAAAUAAAAUGGAAACACAGCUUGCUUCUUGCUCAGUCUCACAGUAGGAAUGUGAGACUGUGUGGUGGAUUGACAUGACAUGUGAGACUGUGUGAUGGAUUGACAUGACAUGUAAGGCUGUGGGAUGGGUUGACAUGACAUGUGAGAGAGACUGUGUGAUGGAUUGGCAUGACAUAUGAGACUGUGUGAUGGAUUGGCAUGACAUGUGAGACUAUGAUGGAUUGACAUAACAUGUGAGAGAGACCGUGUGAUGGAUUGGCAUGACAUGUGAGGCUGUGGGAUGGGUUGACAUGAGGCAUCUGCUAGUUUCCUAAAAUGUCCUUUGGAGAAGAUGAUUGGAAGGCCACCAUCUGAUAAGCAAGGAGAUCCCAUCAACUUCUUAAAAACCAAAUCAGGAGAACAUUAAGAUGAAGUGUACGUAAGUACUAUGCAUGUCUUGAAGAAAGGUGUUCAAUUUUGUUUGGAGAACCAGAGAAGUCCUCGUAGAAGACGCUAGCUACAUGUGAGCUGGGUGUUGACCAUGGAUGGAGAAGCAUUUUCAGUGGAUAGUGGAAGAAAGAGAUGAAAAGAAUAGAAAA